AGUCCAACGCGGGGCUCGAACCCACAAACCGUGAGAUCAUGACCUGAGCUGAGGUUGGACACCCAACUGACUGAGCCACCCAGGGGCCCCUAAAGCUGUAGUUUUAAAGAUCAUCAAAUGAGCAAGUCAUAUGGUCCAACUCCAAAUCAAAAGAUAAGGAACCAUCCUGUGCUUAUCAUGAAGCCAUGGUAAGAGGGGGCUGCAUACUAUAGGUCCACAGAGCAAGGAGCCAGAAGGGAGUAACAACAGGUGUUGAGGAGGAGAGGAGCCCACAACUCAGCAACGUCUAGGAGGGCUGUGCUGGAGCGUGAGUUUUUUCUAGGUUCCAUUUCAGAACAAUUCCUUGGUGCUGUUUUUGAAAAACAGCUAGAAAUCUGCCCCGCCUCCUUCAAAGAUGAACCCCUCUCCUUCUGUCCUGCUUCCAUCCGUUAGGCCACAUGGUUCUCCCACAAGGAGUGUCCUUGGUAGACCCUCACAAGCCUGGCCACGCCAAAGGCCCACAGCCAUUCCGCCUGCCUUCCUGUGAAAGCCCAACCCUCCUUGCUUGCUGCUCUUUUAAUGACAGAGAAGGGUGAUGGUAACUCCAGCAGAAACAUCCUUGUCAAAGGAUCCUUCCCUUGUCAAAGGACACAUCACAGCCAACUCGGAGGAGUGGAGACUAUAGUGAUCUCGCUACAGCUUAAAGCACUUUCUAAUGCUAGCCUCACCUGUGAGUUCUUGAAUUCCGAGUAGAGAGAAAAGAGCAGGUGUAGGGACUGAAUCCGACUCUUGUAGACAGGGAUGUCGAGGAUGGCUGAAAUCAAGAACUCCCAUGAGCAGAACCAAACAAAACCGGGAAUUAUCUGUUUAGAAUAGCCAAGCCCCUCCCAGAUGGGACGCGUUACUAUGCCUCUGGGGGUUAAACACCUGGCAGGCAGUCAGCUAAGCCCAAAUACCACCUUCAAUGCUGCCAAAUAGUAAACUGGCUUAAAGCGAGGGCCAUAACUCAAGAUGCUGUCUUCCGAGAGUAAACAAGCCUUUUCAAAAGCCCACAGUGUAUUCAUCCAGAAACGGAACCGGGAAGGGAUGGGGGAACUUACCACAGAUCAUGUCAAUGUACUCUGCCAGGCUGCAGUCGAUCUCUGCCGUAGGCAGGCUCACCUAGGAGGAGCGUGGGACGGACCAAAGUCAGAAGGCUGAAGCUUCAGCGGGGCCAGCGCCCCUCCCUCUCUCUGAAGGAAGAGAGCUCCCAGCAUAAGGCAUGUCAUGGGCCGAACUGUGCUCCCCCCAAAUUCCUAUAUUGAAGCUCUAACAGCCAGUACCUCAGAAUAGGACUGUAUUGGAGACACAGUCUCAAGAGACAUAAUGAAGCUAAAAUGAGGUCAUCAGGGUGAAUCCUAAUCCAGUAACUGGUGUCCUUAUAAGAAGAGCAAAUCAGGACACAGGCACACACAGAGGGAAGACGGCCAGGAGAGAGGCCCUGGAUGAAGUCAACUCUGCUGACAACUUGACCUCACACUUCUAGCAUCCAGAUGUGUGAGAAAAUAAAUUUCUGUUGUUUAAGCCACCCAAUCUGGGUCAUGAAAGCCGAAAGCCCUGGCAAACAAUACAAUGUGCUUUCUUCCCUCUGAUCAAUAAAAUGAGAUUGGUGACAUUCA